rnacentral:rRNA from 1 species
GACGAACGCUGGCGGCGUGCUUAACACAUGCAAGUCGAGCGGUAAGGCCCUUUCGGGGGUACACGAGCGGCGAACGGGUGAGUAACACGUGGGUGACCUGCCCUUAGCUCUGGGAUAAGCCUGGGAAACUGGGUCUAAUACCGGAUAUGACUCCAUGACGCAUGUUGUGGGGUGGAAAGCCUUGUGCGGCUAGGGAUGGGCCCGCGGCCUAUCAGCUUGUUGGUGGGGUGAUGGCCUACCAAGGCGACGACGGGUAGCCGGCCUGAGAGGCGACCGGCCACACUGGGACUGAGACACGGCCCAGACUCCUACGGGAGGCAGCAGUGGGGAAUCUUGCGCAAUGGGCGAAAGCCUGACGCAGCGACG